AUUGAACGCUGGCGGCAGGCUUUACACAUGCAAGUCGAGCGGAGCGAGGGUGCUUGCACCUUAGCUUAGCGGCGGACGGGUGAGUAAUGCUUAGGAAUCUGCCUAUUAGUGGGGGACAACAUUCCGAAAGGGAUGCUAAUACCGCAUACGCCCUACGGGGGAAAGCAGGGGAUCUUCGGACCUUGCGCUAAUAGCUGAGCCUAAGUCGGAUUAGCUAGUUGGUGGGGUAAAGGCCUACCAAGGCGACGAUCUGUAGCGGGUCUGAGAGGAUGAUCCGCCACACUGGGACUGAGACACGGCCCAGACUCCUACGGGAGGUAGCAGUGGGGAAUAUUGGACAAUGGGCGGAAGCCUGAUCCAGCCAUGCCGCGUGUGUGAAGAAGGCCUUUUGGUUGUAAAGCACUUUAAGCGAGGAGGAGGCUACUUAGAUUAAUACUCUGGGAUAGUGGACGUUACUCGCAGAAUAAGCAUCGGCUAACUCUGUGCCAGCCGCCGCGGUAA
rnacentral:rRNA from 1 species